AUUGAACGCUGGCGGCAUGCCUUACACAUGCAAGUCGAACGGCAGCACGGGAGCAAUCCUGGUGGCGAGUGGCGAACGGGUGAGUAAAGUAUCGGAACGUGCCCAGUCGUGGGGGAUAACGUAGCGAAAGUUACGCUAAUACCGCAUACGAUCUAUGGAUGAAAGCGGGGGAUCGCAAGACCUCGCGCGAUUGGAGCGGCCGAUAUCAGAUUAGGUAGUUGGUGGGGUAAAGGCUCACCAAGCCGACGAUCUGUAGCUGGUCUGAGAGGACGACCAGCCACACUGGGACUGAGACACGACCCAGACUCCUACGGGAGGCAACAGUGGGGAAUUUUGGACAAUGGGCGCAAGCCUGAUCCAGCCAUGCCGCGUGCAGGAUGAAGGCCUUCGGGUUGUAAACUGCUUUUGUACGGAACGAAAAGGUUUGACUUAAUACGUUGGACUCAUGACGGUACCGUAAGAAUAAGCACCGGCUAACUACGUGCCAGCAGCCGCCGUAA
rnacentral:rRNA from 1 species